CCCUUAGAUGUCCUGGGCCGCACGCGCGUUACACGGAUGCAUUCAACGAGCUUAUAACCUUGGCCGAGAGGCCUGGGCAAUCUUGUUAACGUGCAUCGUGAUAGGGAUAGAUUAUUGAAAUUAUUAAUCUUGAGCGAGGAAUUCCUAGUAAACGCAGAUCAUCAAUCUGCAUUGAUUACGUCCCUGCCCUUUGUACACACCGCCCGUCGCACCUACCGAUUGGAUGGUCCGGUGAAGCCUCGGGAUUGUGGUUCUUGCCGCUUUAUUGUGGCGUGACCGCGAGAACUUGUCUAAACCUUAUCAUCUAGAGGAAGGUGAAGUCGUAACA
rnacentral:rRNA from 1 species